rnacentral:rRNA from 1 species
UACGUAGGGUGCGAGCGUUUAAUCGGAAUUACUGGGCGUAAAGAGUGCGUAGGCGGUUCGUUAUGUCUGCUGUGAAAGCCCCGGGCUUAACCCGGGAAUGGCAGUGGAAACUGGCGGGCUUGAGUGUGGCAGAGGGGGGUGGAAUUCCGCGUGUAGCAGUGAAAUGCGUAGAGAUGCGGAGGAACACCGAUGGCGAAGGCGGCGACCUGGUCCGAGACUGACGCUGAGGCGCGAAAAGCGUGGGGGAGCAAACAGG